rnacentral:rRNA from 1 species
AGCGAACGCUGGCGGCAUGCUUAACACAUGCAAGUCGCACGGGCAGGGGGUAACUCUGUCAGUGGCGGACGGGUGAGUAACGCGUAGGUAUCUAUCCUUAGGUGGGGGACGAACGGCUGGAAACGGACUGCUAAUAACCGCCAUGAUGUCUGAGGACUAAAGGACGCAAGUCGCCUGAGGAGGAGCCUGCGUACGAUUAGCUAGUUGGUGGGGUAAAGGCCUACCAAGGCUAUGAUCGUUAGCUGGUCUGAGAGGAUGAUCAGCCACAUUGGGACUGAGAC